UUCACCUGAAAUAAUGUUUGAACAAAGUCCUUCAAAGGGUCAUUGAGGCCCCGGCCUGUGCACCCAGACAAAUGCCCAGGAUUCUUUUCUCUUUGUUUCAGCUCAAGACCCAAGUCAGCCGCUGCUCAUUGCGCGGCUGGCCACUUUCACCCAGCCGUUUCCCAGUUUCCACCCUGCCUCUGUAUAAACAGUCAACUGCAGGGGACUGAGGAAAGAGUACUGUUCCAGGCUGAGGAAACUCUUAAGGGGAGAGAUGGCUCUUUCUGAUAUGCUGGCCCUUGCUGGAAAUGGAGUGUUGCAGUGUUACAGCCUUUCAAGAAGUGGCCUUGAAUGAUUGUCACUCACUUCAGUGAGGAUCUCUACUCUUGAAAUAUGUAAAAGGCACAUGUACUUUACACCUGAUGACCUAUUAAAAGCACUUUGCUAUAUUUUGAGUUUUCACUUUUAAGACACUUAAAAUAUAAUCACUAGAUAGAAAUAUCACAUGCAAUUAAUGAAGUAAUCUUACUAGUUAAUGGAUUUUAGAAUAAAUAUGCAUACUGUCUAUAUAU